CCCAGAAGUCCUGAAGUGCAUCCAGGAUCAAUUUUCUGGGGCUUUUCCGGUCAGACCACAGGUUGAACCAGCUGUUGGGGCAGCAUUGUUGGCUUUGAAUAACAUGAAAGAAUCAAGAGAGAACUGCCAUAGCUGACCUUGAUUGUUGUUUACCUUGUUUAACUGUGAAGUUCAAAAUGUUGGGAAAACUUGGGAAAUAAAACUCUUAAGCAUAGUGUGUAGGAGAUAGAUUUUUAAACAGCGGCCUCCUAAGUCUUGGCAUCUCUUGGAAGAACAUUCUUCCUUUUUCUUUUUUAUUUUUUGCUCUCACCUGUUGAUUUAUUAUGAAAUAAGCAUCAAUAUGAUAAUUAGUUAAUGGAUUUUCUUUUAAUUAUUUUUUUUUUAA